GUGGGGAAUCUUGCGCAAUGGGCGAAAGCCUGACGCAGCCAUGCCGCGUGAAUGAUGAAGGUCUUAGGAUUGUAAAAUUCUUUCACCGGGGACGAUAAUGACGGUACCCGGAGAAGAAGCUCCGGCUAACUUCGUGCCAGCAGCCGCGGUAAUACGAAGGGGGCUAGCGUUGCUCGGAAUUACUGGGCGUAAAGGGAGCGUAGGCGGAUAGUUUAGUCAGAGGUGAAAGCCCAGGGCUCAACCUUGGAAUUGCCUUUGAUACUGGCUAUCUUGAGUAUGGAAGAGGUAUGUGGAACUCCGAGUGUAGAGGUGAAAUUCGUAGAUAUUCGGAAGAACACCAGUGGCGAAGGCGACAUACUGGUCCAUUACUGACGCUGAGGCUCGAAAGCGUGGGGAGCAAACAGGAUUAGAAACCCCAGUAGUCC
rnacentral:rRNA from 1 species